ACCUAGGGCUGCCCAUAUAAACAGGGCAGUUCUGCUGCUGGAGGCCAGACAACAACAUCAUCUGGUUGGAGGGCUGUUGGUAUCAUCUGGAGGGAGGGCUCUAAAGACAUCAUCACUGUCAAAUGAUCUGAGGAACCUCUCCACAAUUAAAACAUAAAUAAAAAGUAAACAAAACAAAAACCUCUUGCAGCGUUUUCCACAGACUUUCCUUGGUGGUCCUCAGCUCAUUACACAUCUGGAUCUUCUUAACAAAAAGAAACGGAAAGACAUUCCACCGUCGAGAGACUCCCAGUGGUUGGACCCUCCACUGAAGUAAUAUUCAAAGUCGUGGCAGGAGAGAUUGGGGAAGACCACACUGGAAGCAAAUAUCUACUCGAUGGACCACUGGGGAUGGUAAGGCAAACACCAUCGAACAUCCGGGCCAGAGCCGCACGUGACCAGAUGUUCGAGGCCAGGCGGGCACAGUUUUUGCUUCUAUGGCCAUACUCCAGCAAAGUGGAGCUGUGUAAGCUUGUUUAGCUCAGCAGCUGAGGAAGCAGGAGUCCCAAUUUCAAACCCACAUUUUGGGUCCCAGCUGUUGACUACAAAUCCCAGAGGCACCUGGAAGCAGGAAGAGGAAGUGCUGAGCAGCUCUGCGGAGUCCUGCUGCUGUGACUUUCAACUGCAAAUCCCAGAGAUCUUGGGGGUAGCAAGAAGAGGAAGUGAACAUACAGCCCAUGCUGGCUGUGCACCAGAGAACCGUGCUCUAGAGCUCCCUGGCUUCUGGCCUUAGCCACUGCAGGCAUGUGACUGUAUUUCCUGAAUCAAAGGUGCUGAUGAGGCCUCAGCUGCGGUACUGACUGCAUUUCUGUCCUCUGCAUUUUCAGAAGCAGGUGGGUAGAUUGGAAAGUAUUCAGAGCAUACUGCUGGGACCCCAUCACCCUUCCAUCAUAUGGGACAUAAUGAUCAGGAGAAAGAAAUGUUUCAGACAUCAGGAACUUUUCUCUGUUCCUCAGUUUCCUCAUACUGCCUGCAUGCUCCCUUCCAAUUGAACCAGACCUCCACACCACAUGGAAGCUCAUCACUUGUGAAUGCCUCACAGCAUUUGAAUUUUCACAGCCAUUACAAGCAUGCAGUAUAAGCCUUUGCAUGAAGGACUGGGAUGCUUAGAUGAAUUGCUCAUCAGCUUGUGUUAGCUACUUGCAAGUUUGCAGAAAGUAGUUCCAAGUUUUAGAAGUAAACUGUAUCAUUAUUGACUUCUAAUUUAAGGAAAAGUCUACAAAAGAAGGAAAAAGAAAGCAAGGCUUAAGGAAGAGAAAGUGUUAAUACUUUGCAAAGACAAUUAACUUGAGAUUGGUGUAUACACUACUAUUGAAAGAAGAAAAAGUCAUCUCUUUGCUUUACGAACCUCACCUCCAUGUAACUUAUAGAUGUGAUAACAUAUUUUUAUCCUUUUACUCUUUUAUACAAAGUUUUUAUAUUUGGAAUAAUAUUAAUACAUUUGAAGACAACUAAGCAGAUAAUUUGGGAGUACUGGCAUAGGGACCAGAUGGCAUAGCUAUGCUGUAACUUUACUGAAAUAUGUGCUUAUUUCUCAUAUAAUCAUACAAGCCAAUAAAAUGUACCUGUAUAUUUCACCCUCUUAAGCUAGCCCUACUAAAAUUUUAUUGCUUCUCAUACCCUAACACUAAAUCUUAAAGUAACUGUAUAAUAACACAGUUUAUUACUGAGACCCCCUCUUUAUCUAGUCUCUAUCAUUUCUUAACUCGAUUUUUCUGUGACACAGAAGAUAAAGCUCUAUUAUAAAAAAAUAAAAAGUACCGGAUAACAGGUUUAUUUUUAUAUAAACUGUCCACUUUACUUGCUGUGUGAAAUGUACUUGUGAUACUUCUGUUCAAUGUCAUGUUGCUUAUUGAUAUGGAGACAUUUGAUCUUUCACUUUGUGUAUAAUGUGUCUGUUGUUUUUAAUUGACAAUGGUAGGUGCUAUAGGGCUUGUGCCCUUUCCAAGACAACGUCUUUUCUUCUGCUACAGUGGGGAUGUGUACACACUUUCCCUGACAGGAGGAUGUUCACCAUGACACCAGGCAGAAGAAGAUUUUUACUGAUGUGAAAAAUAACUGAAAAACAAAUAGGGCUCUACCAUCCCCUGCACCCCAACCUUAUGCCCCCUGACACCCAGAUUUCCUUUCAGGGUGUUACAGAAAAGAAAACAGUCCUCAUCAAAAUAAGCAAACAAAAUAAAGUCCUUCUUAU